ensembl:lncRNA
UCAGAGGCCUUCUCCCGGCCUCCCAGCCGGCGGUGGAGCCGGAGCAGGGAGCUCAGCUCAGACAGCCUGGAGACCUGCCUGGGAGGAAGCCUGUGGAUGCUUCCAGGGCAUUGCCCUGUGUCCCCGCACCUUGCGAAGGGUGCUGAUCACUCGGAGAGCCCCCAGGCUUUGAAGCAUCGGUGGGAAAGAUGCUCCAUGGCGGUUUGCAGCUGUGAGACCUCGAAUCCAACGCACUCGCUGGGGCCUCGAGGAAGGGAAGCAUUUAUGGGCUGCCCCCAUCUUCCAGGGAGUGUGGUAAGCCCUUUCCAUCCAUCAUUGCAUUUCAUCCGCACAACACCACCAAGAGUUGGGUACUAUUAUUACCACCAUUUAACAGGUGGGAAAACUGAAGCGCAAGGAGAUGGAGAAAUGUGUGUUCAAUCACGCAGCUCGGGGCGGAGCUGGAAUUCACACCUGGGACUGACUCCAAAGUUAUUGCGUCUGCACCAUGUGGACCACAAAAGCUGUUGCCCCUUAAAAAAGCCUCUUGAUUCCAAUAAGGUAAACAAACAACAAAUAGACAAACAAAGGUAGAGUCUUCGAAAGCUGAGCCAGCAGCCAAUCUACUGAGCAUAUCAUCAUUUGGGGGGACAGCGAGGAGAGGAGCAGAGAACACCUUUCACAGCUCGUUCACAGCAACAGCCACGCAGGAUGACUCUGACAGUCGUGGAGUAACCAAGGCCUGGAAUGGAUUCAGUUUUGUUAUUCUCAAAACUGUGUUUCUUUGCGUGAGUUGCUUCACCCAAAUCUCUGAGCCUCAGUUUCCCUAUCUGGAAAUCUUGUCAGAUAGUCUUUAAGACGAUUCUAGUUCAAACAUUCUGUGAGUCCUGUGCCUGGUAGACACUAAGUGGAAAGAAGGGAGGGAGGCAAGGAGGAAGAAAUCAAUCCAUCUCUGCAGAUCUGCCUUUCAUAGAGGCAAGGCUGAGUGUAUUUUCCAUCAUUUGCAUUUCUACCUCCAAGGACACUGCCUCUCUCUAAUGAGUAUAUGCUCUGAAUUAAAUUGUUGAUCAUUUUAAUAAGCCCUGCCUCACCCUCCCACUGAAAUGCCACUUUUUAGCCUGUGUUGUCACCAAAGAAAAUAAGUCAAUUAGAGGACCUUAACAAGACUGCUUCUGAAAAGAACAUGGAAACUGUCAGUUGCAGUCAGUUAGACCUGUAGGCUGCGUGGGUGGAUUUCCAGAUAGGAAAAGAAUGGGAAAAGCCAGCAGGCUCCUCAUCUCUGAGAAGAAAGCCUUUGACAGUGACACCCAAGAUGUGUCACAGCAUCUAGCUGUCUCUCUGGGGAAGUUGGGGUGUUCAGCCCUGGCCUAACCUGUAAGAUUCUUUCCCCACCAAAAGGAGCAAAAUCCGAAUGCCUUGCUCCUUGCCACUGGAUAGGAGAGCCAGAAGUCACAGCAAAAUCAUGGCACUACAAGGCCGUGAAAUAACUGGAGAUACUGUUCUUGAGAAAGUGAGUGAUGGGCAUCCUGCAGAGUGUUUUGGAAGAAGCGACCUCUUCUAUGAAUACAGCACAUCAUGCCUGAGUGAUUGUGGGUAGACCCCGGGGAAUUUCUUCACACAGUAUGUCAGUUGGGGGCCUACCAAGCUCUUCAGAUGAAGCUAAAAUUACCUUGUACGCUGCAAUCCCACAGCUGAUGAAAAUCUAGUUCUAGCCCAGAUUUCUACUCACCCCCACAAUUUGCAUCCCCCACAAGUGUGUAUGCUGAUAUCCUACUCCUCCGUAUCUUAGGAGGUGACCGUAUUUGGGAAUAGGGACUUACAAAGGUAGUGGGCCAUCCUGGAAUAGAGGGGACGACUACUCCAAUCUGAUAAUCCAAUAUGACCGAUGUUCUUACUAAAACAGGAGUCUGGAGACAGACACACACACGGAGGAUGCCACGUGGGGAGGCAGAGAUUGGAGUGAUGCUUCUAUAAGUCCAGGAAUGUCAAAGAUGGCCAGCAAACCACCAGAAGAACCUCACAAAGAACCGAUGCCGCUGACACCUUGACCUCAGACUUCCAGCCUGCAGAGCUGAUGCUUUGGCGUUUAGUUGAAACCUUCAAUCUGCAGCAACCAUCUUGAUGCCAGCCUGAGGGUGAAGCUAGCUCUAAGGAUGGAAAGAUGGAAGGUGAAAAGAACAUAGAUCUCUGAUGUCAUCAUUUGGCUGCUGAAUGCACCAUCUCCAAAGCCCACUCUGUAUCUGUUAAACCUUGAGUUAGGUUUGCUGUUACUUGCAGCCAAAUGCAUCUUAAUACAAUAGGACUCUCCCAGGGCAAAACAGCAUGGGACCCAUAGCAACAUUUGAAUGGAAAAUCCUCAGUUCCAUCAGUGAGAUAUAGAUUAACCUGGCUACGUUUUUAUGGGAUAUUUUGUGGGCAGGAACUGGACAAUAAUGUCAGUACUCUACGGUACUUUAUAGCUCCUGCAUAUAAUCAGGUCAGGCCAACUGUUUGCAGGCAGAAUGCACUCUUCUGUGCCUUCCGAGCUGAUCAUUCUCCAUUAAUCUAGAGGCAGGAUAGUCAGCGUAACUGCACUGGAAAUUUAUUAUAUUGAGUGAGACAUGAAGAUAAGUGUCACUGGCCCAGAAAUAAUUCAUUCAUUCUUAAGAGGAAAGGAGAGAAACUAAGGCUUAUGAAUGCUUACAAAGUACCUACUAUGUGCUGGGACCCUUGCAUAGGCUUUCUGUUAUUCCUGACCAUACUACACAAAGGUUAUUUUGCCUGUUUUGCUGAUGAGGGACCUCAGGCUCAGAGGAGGACACACACGUCAGAGCGUGCUGCCACUCAGCAUACAUUCUCUGUCCUUUCAGAAUGUGUUGCUCUGUUUUAGAACGUGAUUGGCCCAGGAUGGUUUACUCUGGUUGGCACUCCCCAGACCUGAAGUGGAGUGAGAAUGUCCUACCCUAGCACCAGCAAGGAGAGCCUGAGCCUCUUAUUGAGCAUUUUAAGGCCAUUGAAGUUCAGAGAUCACAUCCAGGUGCCUUAUCCCGUUUGCUGUCAUUAGCUCCAUUUCACAGAUGAGUUGAUUGAGGCUCAGCAAUGUUAUGUCACUUGUUCAAAACCACUGAGCUCCUUGAAACAAAAAAAAAAGACAAACGAAAAAAAAAACCACUGAGUUCCUAGAGGCAGAUUUUUCCGGGAUGGGUUCAAGCCCUGGUCUCUUAUUCCAGCGCCCAUCCUGCCACCAAGUAGCUCCUUUCUCCGCCCUGAAAGUUGGCAACAGAGCACCUCUGUCAAAGUCAGCCAGAGGCGGCAGUAAGGCUCAUAGGCACAGGGCCACGUUCCCCCUGGAGUGGAGCAGACAUAUGUGCUAGACCAAGGAGUGCAGGUUCUCGAGAGGGUCCCAGAGAGCCAGUGGAAACUGCUAAUUGCUUGUUGGUUCAGAUAAAUGUUAUCUCUUUACACUGCUGUCAGGGCUUUCUGAUGGCAGAAAAUGCAAGCUAUGUAGUGCAACCUGUUUGCCGUUUCGUCUUUGCAUCAGCAAGCUGACAGCAAAGUAUGUUACACAGGUAUCAUAAACCUAUUCAGCUCAUGUACCAGAAAGCACUUGCUCUGCUUCCUUCCUGUGCUAAUUCAAAGUUAGUUAUUUAUUUCAAUGUUUAUUGAGGGUCCGGGUAGGCAAAUUGCUGGGCUAGUUCUAUGGUGAAUUUCACACGGGUUCUCUGUGCGUACUUUUUUUUUUUGGUGUGGUUAUUAAUGCUUUCUUGUUAUUUUGAUGGGGGAGUCUUUCGAUCCUUA